GAUCCUGGCUCAGAACGAACGCUGGCGGCAGGCCUAACACAUGCAAGUCGAGCGCUCUCUUCGGAGGGAGCGGCGGACGGGUGAGUAACGCGUGGGAAUAUACCCUUCUCUACGGAAUAGCCUCGGGAAACUGAGAGUAAUACCGUAUACGCCCUUCGGGGGAAAGAUUUAUCGGAGAAGGAUUAGCCCGCGUUAGAUUAGAUAGUUGGUGGGGUAAUGGCCUACCAAGUCUACGAUCUAUAGCUGGUUUUAGAGGACGAUCAGCCACACUGGGACUGAGACACGGCCCAGACUCCUACGGGAGGCAGCAGUGGGGAAUCUUAGACAAUGGGCGCAAGCCUGAUCUAGCCAUGCCGCGUGAGUGAUGAAGGCCUUAGGGUCGUAAAGCUCUUUCGCCAGGGAUGAUAAUGACAGUACCUGGUAAAGAAACCCCGGCUAACUCCGUGCCAGCAGCCGCGGUAAUACGGAGGGGGUUAG
rnacentral:rRNA from 1 species